AAAAAAUCGGCGGGAACUGCGCCGCUCACGAAUUUUAUUAUUUCCUGUUAUGCAGCUGAAGAAGUUACAUCUUUUCGGAGCUUCGAAAUCAACAAUGAAGUAAAACUUCUCCCAGAGUUGGCCUAUCAUUGGGAAAAAAGAAAAUGGCUCCUUGGCAAAUCUAUGAAGAAGUAAAACAGUCCUCAGUGGAUCAUUGCAUCGACGAGUGAGAAUGAAUUAUCAUUAUGGUUUAGACGAUUCCUUGAGAUGGAGAGCCGUUGGCAGGCUUGAAGCUGGGCAGUCUCAAGCGGAGGUGGCUCGAUGAUUACAAGUGGCACCGAAAGUGGUAUCCAGGUUGUGGAAUCAAUUCCAAACAAGUGGUACUGUAACCAGGAAGGCCGGACAAAGCCGUCACAGAGCAACGACGCCUGCACAGGAUCUCUAUUUGGCAUUUAGAGCACGAUGGCAUAGGCUGACAACGGCUCCUCAACUUGCUCGUGACCUUGCUGCUGCGUCUGGAAUAAGAAUUCCCAGACAAACAGUAUACAGACGUCUAGCAGAGAGGGCCCUUUUUGCCCGGCGACCAGUUGAGUCCCUUUGACUGCAUCCAACAGAAAAGCCCGGUUGUUGUGGUGCCGAACACAUCAGUCUUGGGCACAGCAAGAAUGAGGGCGUGUUCUUUUCAGUGAUGAGUCGAGAUUUACCGCACAGAGUCAUACUCGUCGAAUCUUCCUCUGGAGAGAACGAGGAGUUCGCUAUCAAUCCUCCUAGUAAAAGAAAUCGACAGAUUUGGUGGCAGAGGAAUCCUUGCCUGGGGUGGAAUAAUGUUGGGCAGUCGUACACCACUGCACGUCUUCGAUACGGGUACUUCCAAUGCACAUUGUUAUAGGGAUGAUAUCCUUGAAGCCUAUGUAAGGUUGUUCCGGGGUGCUUUUGGCUCAGACUUCAUGUUUAUGGACGAUAACGCGCGUCCACACAGAGACCAGAUCGUUAAUGAUUUUCUUGAGGAAAGGAUAUUCGACGUAUGGACUGGCCUUCGAGGUCUAUGGAUCCCCAUCCUAUUGAACAUGUUUGGGAUGGCCUCGGAAGAGCUAUUGCUCAGCGUAACCCCCCUCCUUAUAUCCUCCAAGAGUUAAAAGCAUCGCUUUUGGGAGAAUGAUGGGCUUUGUUGCCCUAAGCAUUUAUGGACAUCCUCAUAAACAGUAUGAAAGCUCGUUGUAGAGCUGUAUUGCAGUUCACGGUGGUCACACUCCAUAUUAGACAGACUUUUCCCGAGAUAAAUGCUCUAUCUCUGAUUCAUAAUGUAUCACUUUUUGAUAUACCCUGUUUCUUAAUUCCCAAUUAAAAUCUUUUCCAUGUUGU